CGGGGUGAGUAAUGUCUGGGAGACUGCCUGAUGGAGGGGGAUAACUACUGGAAACGGUAGCUAAUACCGCAUAACGUCGCAAGACCAAAGAGGGGGACCUUCGGGCCUCUUGCCAUCGGAUGUGCCCAGAUGGGAUUAGCUAGUAGGUGGGGUAACGGCUCACCUAGGCGACGAUCCCUAGCUGGUCUGAGAGGAUGGCCAGCCACACUGGAACUGAGACACGGUCCAG
rnacentral:rRNA from 1 species